UACGGGGGGGGCAAGCGUUGUUCGGAAUUACUGGGCGUAAAGGGCGCGUAGGCGGCCAUCUAAGUCAGACGUGAAAUCCCCCGGCUUAACCUGGGAACUGCGUCUGAUACUGGAAGGCUCGAGUUUGGGAGAGGGAUGCAGAAUUCCAGGUGUAGCGGUGAAAUGCGUAGAUAUCUGGAGGAAUACCGGUGGCGAAGGCGGCAUCCUGGACUAACACUGACGCUGAGGCGCGAAAAGCUAGGGGAGCAAACGGG
rnacentral:rRNA from 1 species